ACCUAUUUUUUCUCUAAUAAUGUACCUAUUAAAACAAUUUACCUAGUAUAAUGAACCUAUUUUUACUAAAUGCAGAGCACUUGGCUAUUCUCUUUUACUUAAUCUGAAUAUCAUGAAGUUUGAGUUUCAUGUGAUGAGUGCUUACUAAAAUGAUUUCCAGCUCAAAUUUAGAACCGUUGGACUAGUUGGGGCCAGAAUGAAAGAUCAGUUUUUAACUUUUGCUUGAAGAUUUGCAGCAGAUGUUGUGAAGCAAAUCGAAUGUGAGGAGAGAGGAGAGGGAGAGGAGAGAUAAUGAGAUUGAUAUUCCCGAUGAUAUAGAACCAAAAAUUUAUUUGAAAA